rnacentral:rRNA from 1 species
GCUGGCGGCGUGCCUAUUACAUGCAAGUCGAGCGAACAGAUAAGGAGCUUGCUCCUUUGACGUUAGCGGCGGACGGGUGAGUAACACGUGGGUAACCUACCUAUAAGACUGGAAUAACUCCGGGAAACCGGGGCUAAUGCCGGAUAACAUUUAGAACCGCAUGGUUCUAAAGUGAAAGAUGGUUUUGCUAUCACUUAUAGAUGGACCCGCGCCGUAUUAGCUAGUUGGUAAGGUAACGGCUUACCAAGGCAACGAUACGUAGCCGACCUGAGAGGGUGAUCGGCCACACUGGAACUGAGACACGGUCCAGACUCCUACGGGAGGCAGCAGUAGGGAAUCUUCCGCAAUGGGCGAAAGCCUGACGGAGCAACGCCGCGUGAGUGAUGAAGGUCUUCGGAUCGUAAAACUCUGUUAUUAGGGAAGAACAAAUGUGUAAGUAA